rnacentral:rRNA from 1 species
UACGUAGGGUGCGAGCGUUGUCCGGAAUUAUUGGGCGUAAAGGGCUCGUAGGCGGUUUGUCGCGUCGGGAGUGAAAACUCAGGGCUUAACCCUGAGCCUGCUUCCGAUACGGGCAGACUAGAGGUAUGCAGGGGAGAACGGAAUUCCUGGUGUAGCGGUGAAAUGCGCAGAUAUCAGGAGGAACACCGGUGGCGAAGGCGGCACUCUGGGCCGGUACUGACGCUGAGGAGCGAAAGCGUGGGGAGCGAACAGG